ensembl:lncRNA novel transcript
GUACAUAAAGAAGGACCAGAGCGACGUGUGGCCGCUGGUUGUCCCGUCCCCCUGCCCCAGUACGUUGAAGAAGAAGGUGAAGAAGAUCUCAUCCAGAAAGCCGUGCAUUCCGAAGAAAAGAAAGCGGGGUCUGACAUUGGAAUAAUGCAGAACACUUGAUUCAGGUCAUAGAAGAAGCAACACUUUGGGCACAGCACAACACAACCAAGUGAGCACUGGAAACCUGGUCAUAGGAAAUGAAACAGACUGCUGUUUUCAUGAGUGACCUGUUCUCGAGCCUAAGAAUCUCUUGGGCCACCCAGCCCCACAGAGGCCAGUAGGAGGUCAACUCUCCACCUCCCUAAAAAAAAAAGUAUGUGCACAGUAACUCCAUGUGGCACUGCAUUCCUUGCUAGAGGUUAGAGGGAAAACGAGUGUGCGAGAAGUAUGUUGUAAUUGAAGUAGCAUACUGCCUGACACCCAAGAGGUUGCUCUGUAAGUGAAUUGCCUUUCACCUCCUGCCAUGAUUCUGAGGCCCCCAGCCAUGUGGAACUGGAGAAGGGAGAUGAAAUAAUACCAGCAUCCUGAACCUGAAUGUCCAGCUUCGCCUUGUUCUUUGUGGAUUAUAAGACCAUUGAUUAAAUAAAUCCUUUCAUCAAAAUUAUCUUAAAAAAGAAACUACCAUCUAAAUCCAGUUAUUCCAUCUGACUUGGUAGCAGUGAUGUUUGGAGUUUAGGACCUAAAGGUGAAAUGGGGAAAAUCUGGGUGCUCGGAAAGACACCAGAAGCACACAGAAGAAGAUCAUAUGAAGACACAACAAGAAGGUGACUAGCUGCAAGCCAAGAAGAGAAGCCUCAGAAGAAAUCAA